UACGAAGGGGGCUAGCGUUGUUCGGAUUUACUGGGCGUAAAGCGCACGUAGGUGGACAGUUAAGUGAGAGGUGAAAUCCCAGGGCUCAACCCUGGAACUGCCUUUCAUACUGGCUGUCUCGAGUUCGGAAGAGGUGAGUGGAAUUCCAAGUGUAGAGGUGAAAUUCGUAGAUAUUUGGAAGAACACCGGUGGCGAAGGCGGCUCACUGGUCCGAUACUGACACUGAGGUGCGAAAGCGUGGGGAG
rnacentral:rRNA from 1 species